UCCUACGGGGGGCAGCAGUAGGGAAUUUUCGUCAAUGGGCGCAAGCCUGAACGAGCGAUGCCGCGUGAGUGAAGAAGGCCUUCGGGUCGUAAAGCUCUGUUGCGGGGGAAAAAAGGCAGCAUCAGGAAAUGGGUGCUGACUGAUGGUGCCCCGCCAGAAAGUCACGGCUAACUACGUGCCAGCAGCCGCGGUAAUACGUAGGUGGCGAGCGUUAUCCGGAAUGAUUGGGCGUAAAGGGUGCGCAGGCGGUC
rnacentral:rRNA from 1 species